rnacentral:rRNA from 1 species
UACAGAGGGGGCAAGCGUUGUUCGGAAUUACUGGGCGUAAAGCGUGCGUAGGUGGUUUGUUAAGUCUGUUGUGAAAGCCCCGGGCUCAACCUGGGAAUGGCAAUGGAUACUGGCAAGCUAGAGUGCGGUAGAGGGUAGUGGAAUUCCCGGUGUAGCGGUGAAAUGCGUAGAGAUCGGGAGGAACACCAGUGGCGAAGGCGGCUACCUGGACCAGCACUGACACUGAGGCACGAAAGCGUGGGGAGCAAACAGG